CCCAGCCUAGACCCCAUCAUCCCAGGGAGGGAGAAUUCAUGGCAGCUCUCCCAGUCAGGAAGUUCUUCCUCGUGUUCAGAUGGAAUCUCCUUUCUUGUAGUCAGUUGGGAAAAAGACGACAAACCCCAGCCUAGACCCCAUCAUCCCAGGGAGGGAGAAUUAAUGGCAGCUCUCCCAGUCAGGAAGUUCUUCCUCGUGUUCAGAUGGAAUCUCCUUUCUUGUAGUCAGUUGGAAAAAGGACGACAAACCCCAGCCUAGACCCCAUCAUCCCAGGGAGGGAGAAUUAAUGGCAGCUCUCCCAGUCAGGAAGUUCUUCCUCGUGUUCAGAUGGAAUCUCCUUUCUUGUAGUCAGUUGGAAAAAGGACGACAAACCCCAGCCUAGACCCCAUCAUCCCAGGGAGGGAGAAUUAAUGGCAGCUCUCCCAGUCAGGAAUUCUUCCUCGUGUUCAGAUGGAAUCUCAGUUGGAAACAGGACGACAAACCCCAGCCUAGACCCCAUCAUCCCAGGUAGGGAGUAGUGAACAAAAGGCAGCCUAGCUCUUGCACCAUCGACUCCUUCUUUUCAGUGCUGAACAGCUCUCACAGUUGGGAUUAUUUGGGUAUUUAUGAUGAACGAGUAAGUCACCUCCCUCGUUCCUUACACGCCGCCUGCAAUGUGAGGCCCGCCAUGCCACCCCGAUGCUCGGCCCAGCUUCCCAAGGCUCCAAAGCGCUCCUCACCCGCAACCUCAUGGAGUUGAGUAUUGAUUCCGCCUGCGUCUUCUGCCCCGCCAGCACAUGUUUUGUCCCUUUCCUUCAAGGCGCACUUGUUUUCACAAACAGCCGCAAAAGGCAUGUGUAUGCAAAAGGGAUUCUCCCCCCCCCACCCUAAAAAAAUGCCACAUCUCUAUUACAUGUAGGGAGAGAUGUGUUUUUUUUAUUUCUCCAGAAAGCAAUUUUUAGGCCUUAAAAAUAUUUUGCUUUGUUUUUUUAACUCUUUAAAUGCUGUUUAUAUUGACUUCUUCCUUGUUUAUUUCUCUCUCUCUCUCUCUCUUUUCAACUCCUGACCCUCGUUUGUCUCGAAUUGUUGUAUGAUAUUCAAUAUUGUAGCCUCAUUAAUUUUUCUUUUUAUCUUUUUUGCCAGCAUGUUAAUAACUCUGUAAAUAGGACUCUUAUAAGCUUAACAUCUCUCUUUUUUCUAUAUAAGAGCCCGGGUCACAUUUAGCUAGAUCCCUAGUAUUGAUUAUGAUUAUUAUUGCUUAUUAAUAAACAAGCGGGGGGAGCGUUUCUUUCCCUUUCUCUCUCCCCGCCCCAUCCAUCCCUUCUCAUUGCGGAAACAAAGAAAGGUGGGAGAAGAUGGGCUUCGUUUUCUCCUUGGUCCCAUCGGCCGUUUGCAACAUUUUUUAAAAAAAUGGGGGGAAAUUAAAAAAUUAAAAUAAUUGCUUUGUAUUUCUCUCUGUUGUGGAAGAAAACAUGAAUAAAGAUGUCUUUGCACCCUU